rnacentral:lncRNA from 1 species
GUUCACUUCCUGUGGAUCAUGAUGUAAGAACUCUCAGCUCCUUCUCCAGCUCCCUGUCUGCCUUCAUGCUGCCAUGCUUCUUGCCAUGAUGAUGAGACUAAACCUCUGAACUAUGGUAGAGCUAACACCCUUCACCAUAAGAGCUUCUCUUCACAGCAAAUGGAGACCGUCACAGAAAACUGCAAGUGGACAUAAUGCAGAAAGCCCUGAAUCAUGAGGAGCCCAGCCCCAGUGGAUACACUCACAUGCCAGCUCUGCUUUUGUGGCUCAGGGGACAACGUCUCUGAAGAGGGGUCAGAAAAGAUGCAUAUACCCAAAGGAAGCACAUUCAUACAACAAGGACAUCUGUUCAACGAUGUUCAUAGCAGCACUAUUUGUAAUAGCCAGAAACUGGAAGCAGCCUACAUGCCCCUCACCUGAAGAAUGGAAGGAAAAAAUGUGGUACAUUUACACAAUGGAAUACUACUCAGGAGAAAAUAAAUGGAAUCUUGAAAUUCUCAGGCAAAUGGAUGGAACUAGAAGAAACCAUUCUGAGUGAGGUAACCCAGUAGCAAAAAGACAAACAUGGUAUGUAUUCACUCAUAUGUGGAUUUUAGACAUAGAGUAAAGGAUUACCAGCCUACAAUCCACACUGCCAGAGAAGCUAGUAAAUAAGGUGGACCCUAAAAGAGAUAUGCAUGGUCCCCUGGAGAAGGGGAAAGGUCAAGAUCUCCUGAGCAAAUUGGGAGCAUGGGAGGAGGGGGAAGGGAGCUAGGAGAAUAAGAAGGGGAGAAGAGGAGGGAUGAGGAAGACAUAAGGGAGCAGAAAGAUUGAGUCUGGGGAAGAAUAGAAGAUAACAAGAAUGGAGAUACCAUAAUAGAGGGAGACAUUUUAUGUUUACAGAGAAAUCAGGCACUAGUGAAAUGUCUGGAGAUCUACAAAGAUGACACCAGCUAAUAAUCUAAGCAACGAGGAGAGUCUACCUUAAAUUCCCUCCCCUGAUAAUGAGAUUGAUGACUGACUUAUAUGCCACCUGAUAGCUCUCAUCCAGCAGCUGGUGGAAGUAGAAGCAGACACCCACAACUAAUCACUGAACUGAACUGGAAUCCAGAUGCAGAGAAGGACAAGUGAAGAGCAAAGGGUUCCAGACCAGGCUGGUGAAACCCACAGAAACAGCAGACCUGAACAUCGGGGAACUCUUGCUCCCCAGACUGACAGCUGGGAUACCAGCAUGGGACUGAUCCAGACCCCAGGAACAUGGGUUUCAGUGAGGAAACCUUGGAAAUCUAUGGGACCUCCUAUAGUAGUUCAGUACUUAUCCCUAGCAUAGGUGGAGAAUUUGGGAGCCCAUUCCAAAUAGAGGAAUACUCACUGAGCCAAGACACAAGGGGGUGGGCCUAGCCUUAUCCCAAGAGAUACAAUAGACUCUGAUGAGACUCUAAGGAAGGCCUCACCAUCCAUGGGACGCAGAAAGGAUAUGUGAUAGAUAGGGUUUUAGUUGGG